UACGUAGGGGGCAAGCGUUGUCCGGAAUCAUUGGGCGUAAAGAGCGUGUAGGCGGCCCGAUAAGUCCGCUGUGAAAGUCCAGGGCUCAACCCUGGGAUGCCGGUGGAUACUGUCGGGCUCGAGUCCGGGAGAGGGAUGCGGAAUUCCAGGUGUAGCGGUGAAAUGCUUAGAUAUCGUCAAGAACACCUAUAGCGAAGGCAGCUUACUAGGCUGUAACUGACGCUGAGGCACGAAAGUGUGGGGAUCAAACAGG
rnacentral:rRNA from 1 species